rnacentral:rRNA from 1 species
GUGGGGAAUAUUGGACAAUGGGCGAAAGCCUGAUCCAGCCAUGCCGCGUGUGUGAAGAAGGUCUUCGGAUUGUAAAGCACUUUAAGUUGGGAGGAAGGGCAGUAAGUUAAUACCUUGCUGUUUUGACGUUACCGACAGAAUAAGCACCGGCUAACUUCGUGCCAGCAGCCGCGGUAAUACGAAGGGUGCAAGCGUUAAUCGGAAUUACUGGGCGUAAAGCGCGCGUAGGUGGUUUUGUAAGUUGAAGGUGAAAUCCCCGGGCUCAACCUGGGAACUGCCUCCAAAACUGCAUGACUAGAGUACGGUAGAGGGUAGUGGAAUUUCCUGUGUAGCGGUGAAAUGCGUAGAUAUAGGAAGGAACACCAGUGGCGAAGGCGACUACCUGGACUGAUACUGACACUGAGGUGCGAAAGCGUGGGGAGCAAACAGGAUUAGAAACCCCGGUAGUCC